rnacentral:tRNA from 1 species
GCCGGAGUGGUGGAACUGGUAGACGCGCCGGACUCAAAAUCCGGUGCCAGCGAUGGCGUGCGGGUUCGAGUCCCGCCUCCGGCACCA